UCCAGGAUGGCCGAGUGGUUAAGGCGUUGGACUUAAGUUCCAAUAUUCGAAUGUACGCGUGGGAUCGAACCCCACUCCUGGUA
rfam:Nematostella vectensis strain CH2 x CH6 NEMVEscaffold_350_Cont24646, whole genome shotgun sequence.